GCAGCCUCAUUUUCUUCAGAGUCAGCAUCUUUCUUUCCCCUUGCAAGCAGUCUCCUGUUUCUAUGAAUAGUCUUUGCUCAGACAAGGCCAAUAUACUUGGUAAUAAUUAAUUUAGCUUCUUUGAAAUGAUUAGGUCACUUUUUGGUUUAAAAGAUUACCAUGGUUGUCCCCAAAAUCUUUGCAUGUACCAAUUUAUUUCCUCCUCCCUAGGGUCAGAAUGAUUUUAUAUUUGGCUUAUGAAAUGUAUUAAUUUGCUUCUUCUGGUCAAAGAUAAAGUGGAAGGAUGAUGAGAUUUUUAAAAAAUUAAUGUAUCCCUUGCUUCUAAUUCUACCUACAAAGUGGAAUAGUGUGCUAGUUACUAUAUAGUUCCCAGUGUAUAGCUUUUGACUCUUUUGAAGUGGUAACUAGUAGUUUUGUUUUAGAAUUUUGCUUUCAGCUUUUAUCCUGAGAGUGGGGCUCACUGAACCUCUCUCCUUUCUAAAAUCUGUGGAAAUUACUUUUGGUAACUAAGGCACUGCAGUGAUCUCAGCAUUUAGUAUGAGAACCUAUGUUUGCCAUAUUUGUAGUAUUGCUUUUACAUCUUUAGAUAUGUUCCGGUCCCACAUGCAAGGAAGUGAACAUCAAAUUAAAGAAUCCAUUGUUAUCAAUCUAGUGAAGAAUUCAAGGAAGACACAAGACUCUUACCAAAAUGAGUGUGCAGAUUACAUCAAUGUGCAGAAAGCCAGAGGACUAGAGGCCAAGACUUGUUUCAGAAA
rnacentral:lncRNA from 1 species